rnacentral:tRNA from 1 species
GGGGGUGGGGCCCGACCGGGAGGAGGGCGCUCGCGUGGAAAGCGAGUGGGCAAGGGAGAGUUGGCUUCGUGGGUUGGAAUCCCCCCCUCCCCGCCA